AUGUGGGUGUCUCCAGGGUUUUGCUGUUACAAACAGUACUGCAGUGGGACAGCAUGUCCAUGCAAAUGUAUAAAGAGUAAAUUCCUAGAUGCACAAGUGCAAUUUACUCUUGCACCCGCAGUGGACGUGAGAACCUGUUUUCCCACAGAUUUACCAGCAGAGUGCGCUGUAAGCAUUUGCCUAUCAGUUGCACCAGCUUUCCUGAUGGGCAUGGCUGUCUUCACUGUUGGGUGGAUUCUCAUUACUGACUUUUGGAGAUGUACUACAUUGUGCAGACAUCUGUCUUUAUCUUUGGAGUGGGUUUUAAGUUGUCAUAUAAUAGCUCUUUUGGCUUCACUGAUAAAAGGACCCGGAUAAGAAACAGUUUUUUCACAUUUAUUAGUGUUCUAAAACAUCUUUUUCUUAAAGAGACUUAUGAUCAAGCACCCUGUAUUUUAGAAACUUCAGCUGUUGUAAAUCUAAUUUUUUAAAAGUUCUUAUUUCAGAACCAUGUAAUUUGUAAAAAAUUCCUAGGACAUUUAAAGAAAAACAAUCACCAACUGCCUGAAAACUCAGAAAAAAUUGGCUUUGUGCCUCCAUUUGAGUCAGUUAAUGAAGAGAUUCUGAAUAAUGACCCUGAGGGCAAACACCCCAAAUCAGGAUCUCAGCUUGGCCAUUUAUUAGCUCUGAGACCUUGGGCAAGCCAACAGCCCUGCUGGGCCUCCUCUUCUUCAUCUGCAAAAUGGGUAUGUCAGUGUAACUGAUACACAAUAGGUGAGCCCCAAAAUUGGUGCUUAUCCCAGGAGGCUUCUUGGCUUUUAAGGACAAGCCAGUGGAAUUGUCAAUCUUUCGCUGAACAGUACUGCUCUUUGUAGAGCAAGGAUAACCCCUAGGCAGUGCACUCCAGUCAGCAACAUAUGGGCUCCUGGCAACUGUAUUUAUAUUUACAUAAACCCAUUUAAAUUACAUGCAAAUUAAGGGGCAGGCCAAUGCAAACUGAGGGACAGGUUAUUUAGAACUUCCUAGGAAAGGGGUGGUAACUUCCAGGUCAUUACCGUGACAUUUGUAAACUGUUGUGGCAUUUGUGGGAGUGUCAUAUGCUAAUGAGCAAUGAGGGCAGCUAGGGAUCACUUUCCUCACCAUCUGCUGCUUCCUGCUGGUUUCUUCACUGUGUAUAUACCACAUCCUGUUUUGGUCAGCAGAGUUGUGACCAGAAAAUAAGUUCUGCCAGUCUCCUACCUCAUAAGAGUUGUCAUACAGUUAGCCAUAUGAGUAUUAACUGUUAACCGUUUUCUAAUUAAGUUUUUAAAUUAUCAUACAGUAAAAUUAACUAUAUUGUAUAUAAUUUUAUGGAUUUCAGCACAUGUAUAGAUUCAUG
rnacentral:lncRNA from 13 species